CUGAUAAAGAGCUGAAUAAAGAGGAAGUAACUAAAGCAGACAGAUGUAGAGACAGAGAGAUUCAUACAGAGAUCAUUCAGCAUAAAGAAGACUGAACUCAAGUCACAAUGAAGAUCCUCCUCAUCUUCUUCACUUUCUACCUGAUCUCAGAUGCAGUGAGAUGCUUUAGCGUCACUGGAUAUUCUGGAGGAAGCGUGCUUGUUGAUUCUGGGAAACUUUGGUUCAGUGACUCUGUUAAAUAUAUGGUUAAACAUGACCCAUGGAGAAACAUAAUAAAUUACAAGAAACACAGUGAAUGGACUAGUGAAGGAAGAUUCAUUCUAUUUCGCAACAAAUAUGGAAAACUCAUGAUAUUGAUCAGAGAACUGAACACACAGGAUGCUGGAAAAUACAGAAUUAGGGUUCUUAAUAAGUGGUAUAUAGAUGUAACUUUGAAUGUGAAAAAAGAUUCAUGCUGUGUGGUGUCGAAGAAAGUGGUUGUAAAGAGUGGAGAAACUGCCACCUUCAGCUGUGAAUAUUCACAGAAUCAUAUUAAUGAUGCAAAAGUCAUAUUCAAAGAACGACAAAACUCCAUUGACAUGUAACGAGGAAGCAAGAUUCAGUAUUUCUGAUGACAGACACAAUAACUUCUUCAGUGUGAGAAUUACUGCUGUGACACCAGAUGAUGGAGGAGUUUAUUUGUGUGGAAUUUGGAUCGACAAACAAUCAUACUCCAUUAGUACUACUGUUCAUCUGCACACUAUGACUAAAGUGGGCGUGUCUAGAGUGAGCGGCUACUCAGGAGGUGGUCUGAUGAUCAAGUGUGAACAUCCUCAAUACAAAACCAAGACAAAAUACAUCUGUAAAGAAUCAGAUGGAUGUUCAGAGAGGACGAAUCCAGGAGUUCAGGAUGAAUGGAUGGAGAAUGGAGAUGUUUCUUUAUAUGACGACACCAGAGCAGGAGUCUUGAUGGUGUUUUUUAGAGAGCUGAAAGCUGCAGAUGCAGGAACAUACAGGUGUGGAGUGAAAGUAUCUGACUAUACUAAGAGCUUCACUCAACUUCAGCUGAGCGUCAAAUAUGAUGAGGAACCCCAGAUACUUUAUCUUGUUCUAUAAAAUCUUUGUUCUGAUUUUUAGGUCAUUUCUAUUUGUUUUUAGAUGCAAAAUAUCUACAGAAUGUGACUGAAUCUGUGUAUCUUGGUGAAGAAGUCAGCAUCAGCUGUCAGAUCCCAGAGGAACAUAAAGUUCAUUUCUGUAAAGAGGAUGAUAAUCACAUCUGUCAGAACAUCAGCUCAUCUAAAGUGGCACACAUUAGUGGUUCAUCUGAUGAAGAGAGAGUUGUUACAGUGAGCAUCAGUAAUGUGAGCGUGAGAGAUGCUGGAGUUUACUGGUGUGGAGCAGAAACCAGAGACACAUAUUUGACUUUUAUCUCCCUGACCACGAAAAUUCAGCUCAACCUCAUCAUGGCUCCAGUAGUGAGACAUGAAGGAGAAUCUGCUGAGAUCAUCUGUCCUUAUGAUUCAAUCUAUAAAUCAAACACAAAGUCUCUGUAAGGGAAGUGCUCCACUAGAGACAAAAAUCCUCUCAGUGAGACUGUGAGAGAAGAGAAAGAGACCAAGACUGACAGACUGACUCUGAAAGAUAACGUCACUGCAAGUGUCUUCACUGGGACCAUCACUGGACUGACAGCAGAGGAUGCUGGGAAAUACUGGUGUGCAGUGACAUUAGAAACAGACCUCAAUUAUCUUUACACUCAUCUGAUGGUCAUCAUGAACGAGGAGCUGAACUUGACUAAGUAUGAAGGAGACGACGUGUCAAUCCAGUGCAAACAUCAUGAUGAAGAUCAGAAAAGCUUCUGCAAAGCACAUGAAGCCUCCAUGUGUGUGAAGGAUGGAGUUUCAUUGGAGACGAUCAGAGAUGAUCGAUUCUCUUUCAGUGAUGAAGCAUCUACUGGAGUCUUUACUGUGAACAUCACUGAUCUGAGAGAAGAGGAUUCUGGGAUAUACUGGUGUGGAGCUCACGCCAUGUCUAAAGUUAGACUCAAAGUUAAUAUGGGUGCUCCAAAUCAGUGACAAUGACAAACAGCUGGAUUUCUGCUGCUGGUGCACUCUGGGAAAUGUAGUUCUUUGAAUCUUAUUCCUGAGAUUCAGCUCAACAGAUAGUGAUGUAAUGGACUGUCGUUGGCCAACGUUUGAAUCACAUCUUCAGACAUUGGUCAUUCCCCAUUGUGUCCAAGAACGCAGUGUGAGUUACCAUUCGAAAGGGGACUUUUAAAACAUGUCUCGAGACUUUUACUACACAUUCCAUUAUAAAGAAAGACACGAUCUGAACACGGUCGUUCAGUUUUAUGUGGAUGCUAUCCAUAUAGCCUACUGUUGAACAGUACCUCUUCCAGACCAGUAGAUGUCUGUCAGUCUGCAGGUUUAACUAACCGUUGUUGAUUUCAAAGCUGAAAACUGUUCAGGGAAACUGAAAACUUACGUCUAACUUCAAUGCUUGAUACAUUUGUAAAUAACAGUUUGUAAAUAUACUACACCUCAGAUUUCACUUUACAUUCAUUCUCAACUGUGUAGAAUGUUUGGCUGUUUUGUGUAUUUAAAUAAAUGUGAGUACAUCUUGUCUCUCCAUAAUGUGUUUGUGUUUUCAGAUUUCUCUUUGCUGAACAUCAUUUCUUUGUGUUCGACUCUGCUGCUGAUUGGAGGAUUCACUGUGAGUGUGUGUAAAGGUGAUGCUCUCCUUCAUAAACACACACACACACACACACACACACACACUCGUUUAUCUGUAAAACAGAUUAUGUCUAAUAAGCCUACAGACUAACCCAAAACAUGAAAUAAAAGAAGGGUGAUGUUUAUGGUCUUUUUACCAAACGAGGACAACCAAAAUGUCUUCUGAAUUUCUUCAUCUCACUGUUGUGUAUUUGUGAUGUUGUGUUGAGAUCUUAGAGAUGAGCUCAUGAUCAGGCAGACACAGAUGAGACAGUGAAGUGAUUAUCUCGUUAUAUUCUGCAGAAGAUAUGAUUUAUUUCCCUGCUCACCUUCCCAUAAUCCUCUCUGAUGGCUUCACAUGACGAUCUGUGAAUGUGUGAUUUGAAGACCAACACUGUUUAACAAGGCAUUGGUUUUAACCACUACUAUUAGUAUUAGUAUUAUUUAUAACUUUUCAUUAUUGAAAACUUUUCAUCCAGUGAAGGUUCAGGGUCUGAUUUUUUUUUUUUUUUUUUUCUAUGAACAACACAUAGAUGUAUUCAGGAAACCCACAGAGAGCACGUAACACUGAACCAUAAGCAGAACAUUGUUUGUGAGCAAAAGAUAAUAAAGACUGCUGCUCAUUUUACUGCAGACAUUCAGAUAUUCACCUUCAACAUUUACUGUUUAAUGAGGCAAAGACUGAAAAUAACAUUUAUGAUUAUCAAUGUGUGAUAUAAAAAUUGUACUCUUAAAAGCAGAUCAAAUUAAUAAAUGUAAUGAGCCUACAAAUCAAUGACAGAAUAUCUGGAAACGUCCUAUAAACGUUGAAAAAAUGGAAGCAAAGUUGAAAGUGAAUCAUAUUUGUUUUAAAUCAUAAAACACCCACAUUAUACUUAAUGUAUUUAAUGUUGAUUUCAACACAUUACUGUAAAACUUCAGAAUGAUUCAUUUCAAACAAUAAAUCAAACUAGAUUUUACAUGA